UCCUGAGCGCUUGAGUAGGGUGGAAUCAAUUUUUGGCAAUCUUUCAGAAACCAUUAAAAUAUAUGGUCCUUGGUCUUCUGCAUGGGUAGGAGAAGCUGGAGGGGCAUACAACAGUGGUGGCAAUCAUGUUUCUAACAGAUUUCUAAACAGCUUUUGGUACUUAGAUCAACUUGGAAUAGCAUCCUGCUACAGCACUAAAGUCUAUUGCAGGCAGACUUUAAUUGGAGGGAACUAUGGCCUUCUCAAUGCCACCACCUUUGCUCCCAAUCCUGACUACUACAGUGCAGUUUUGUGGCA